GGUUGCCUCUCUUGGUGUUUUGUGGUGAGCCUAGCCUAAGGGAAAUACUGUGCACAUCCCUGGCAGAAGUUAGGGCCACAACCCAAACAUUUUUGCCUUGUAUGUGUAACUGUUCAGUUGAGAACUGGCGGAUGGAAGAUGCUCAUCUCAGGAGCCAGUCUGAAGAUGUUGGGGUAAUAUUGCUGCCUGGAAAGGAAGGUGCUUGGAAUGCUAGAAAAAAUGAAGAUGUCAGCUUUAUAUUCAUCAACACAACAGCUUAUCUGACGUUGUAAAAUCAUGCAUUUCACAUAUUCUGAAUGGAGAAAGGGCUGACGUGUCGGUUACUCUCUGUUCAUCACUACAAUAACAAAUUCUAAAAUGGGGGAAGCGUUUCCAGAUCUCUUGUUAGGAAUUUGAAAUACCUGCUGAUAACAACUGCUGUUUCUUUUUCCUGUUCCUUCAGUAAUUAUCACUCAGACUGAAAAGAAAUGAUAGCUGUGGUUUUGUCAUUAGAAUAAAAAACAGCUGUAACUGAGAAAUAGUAUAGAAAACAAAUGUUAAAUACAUCAUUUUCAAAAUUCAGUGGCUCACUCAUCUUUCUGUUGUUAAUCUAAUGAA